rnacentral:rRNA from 1 species
UACGGAGGGUGCGAGCGUUGUCCGGAAUCACUGGGCGUAAAGGGCGCGUAGGUGGCGCGGCAAGUCAACGGUGAAAGCUCGACGCUCAACGUCGAGUCGGCCGUCGAUACUGCCGCGCUGGAGCACUGUAGAGGCUCAUGGAAUUCCGGGUGUAGCGGUGGAAUGCGUAGAGAUCCGGAAGAACACCGGUGGCGAAGGCGGCUCACUGGCCCGGUACUGACGCUGAGGUGCGAAAGCGUGGGGAGCAAACAGG